UUUUUUAAUACCUUAGUUUUCGGAAAAUGCUUUGCAAUGUAAACGUACUGAAUGAGAUUCAAAUUCAAUUCCAAAAUUUAAUUUGAAUUGACCCCCAGCAUUGCUUCCUGAGCUCACCUGUAAUGCCCUGAUUGUGAUUCCUCAGGGGGACAGCAUUGCUCUACCUUUGCUGUCAAACUGCAGUUUACUUGAAGAGGAUUUGAAGAGCAGACAGUAUGUAGAGCAGUUGUCCCCAGCCCUGCUCCUGUAGGGCAACAUCCCAGUCUGCAGUCCAGUAUCCGUGUCGGGCAGUCCUUGCCAGGGAACGAAGAAGGUCGGGUUCCAGUGUCGGUUGCCAGUGGGUCGUGUUGGGGGUCCAGGAACGGCGGCGAAAGAGAGAGGAAGGAGAGAACGCGGGGUUAAAGAUAGGCCAAGGGGAAGUAACCAGAAUCUCUGGGUGGAGGUUGUAUAUUACUUACCUGUGUGCUGGCUGCUGACGGCCCCUUUCUUUUACCCGGCUCCUUUCCCAGGUACAUCGGAGGUGUCGGUUGAUUUGGCAGUGGAAGGCAUGGCAAGGCUUGACGGUUCCUGCGGUGGGUGGGGUGCGGCGGGAGAGCUGGCCUGUGGGACCCCCCGGGAGUUCUGGAACUUAUUUCUUUUAACUAUUUUUUUUCAGGACAGUAACAACCAUUAAGUUUUUUUUGUUUUUUUUAGAUUUUUACCAACAGGAGAGGACUGCCUAGUGUGGUUUAUUUUUAAUAUUGUUUUUUGGUACUCCCUAUUGUGUGCUUUUUACUAUUUUGUCUGUUUAUCAUUGUGUUGAUUUUAAUGUUUGAAAUAUCCCUGUUGAGAACAAUAAACUUUGUUUUACCUA